rnacentral:rRNA from 1 species
UGGGGAAUAUUGCGCAAUGGGCGAAAGCCUGACGCAGCGAUGCCGCGUGAGGGAUGAAGGUUUUCGGAUCGUAAACCUCUGUCAGAAGGGAAGAAACCGCACUGUGCUAAUCAGCAGUGCCUUGACGGUACCUUCAAAGGAAGCACCGGCUAACUCCGUGCCAGCAGCCGCGGUAAUACGGAGGGUGCAAGCGUUAAUCGGAAUUACUGGGCGUAAAGCGCACGUAGGCUGCUUUGUAAGUCAGGGGUGAAAUCCCACGGCUCAACCGUGGAACUGCCUUUGAUACUGCUUAGCUUGAAUCCGGGAGAGGGUGGCGGAAUUCCAGGUGUAGGAGUGAAAUCCGUAGAUAUCUGGAGGAACAUCAGUGGCGAAGGCGGCCACCUGGACCGGUAUUGACGCUGAGGUGCGAAAGCGUGGGGAGCAAACAGG